rnacentral:rRNA from 1 species
UGCAGGGCGGCGUGCUAUACAUGCAAGUCGUGCGGACCUUUUAAAAGCUUGCUUUUAAAAGGUUAGCGGCGGACGGGUGAGUAACACGUGGGCAACCUGCCUGUAAGACUGGGAUAACGCCGGGAAACCGGGGCUAAUACCGGAUAGUUUUUUCCUCCGCAUGGAGGAAAAAGGAAAGGCGGCUUCGGCUGCCACUUACAGAUGGGCCCGCGGCGCAUUAGCUAGUUGGCGGGGUAACGGCCCACCAAGGCAACGAUGCGUAGCCGACCUGAGAGGGUGAUCGGCCACAUUGGGACUGAGACACGGCCCAAACUCCUACGGGAGGCAGCAGUAGGGAAUCUUCCGCAAUGGACGAAAGUCUGACGGAGCAACGCCGCGUGAGUGAAGAAGGCCUUCGGGUCGUAAAACUCUGUUGCCGGGGAAGAACAAGUGCCGUUCGAACAGGGCGGCGCCUUGACGGUACCCGGCCAGAAAGCCACGGCUAACUACGUGCCAGCAGCCGCGGUAAUACGUAGGUGGCAAGCGUUGUCCGGAAUUAUUGGGCGUAAAGCGCGCGCAGGCGGCUUCUUAAGUCUGAUGUGAAAUCUUGCGGCUCAACCGCAAGCGGUCAUUGGAAACUGGGAGGCUUGAGUGCAGAAGAGGAGAGUGGAAUUCCACGUGUAGCGGUGAAAUGCGUAGAGAUGUGGAGGAACACCAGUGGCGAAGGCGGCUCUCUGGUCUGUAACUGACGCUGAGGCGCGAAAGCGUGGGGAGCAAACAGGAUUAGAUACCCUGGGAGUCCACGCCGUAAACGAUGAGUGCUAAGUGUUAGAGGGUUUCCGCCCUUUAGUGCUGCAGCUAACGCAUUAAGCACUCCGCCUGGGGAGUACGGCCGCAAGGCUGAAACUCAAAGGAAUUGACGGGGGCCGCACAAGCGGUGGAGCAUGUGGUUUAAUUCGAAGCAACGCGAAGAACCUUACCACGUCUUGACAUCCUCUGACCUCCCCUGGAGACAGGGCCUUCCCCCUUCUGGGGACAGAGUGACAGUGUGCAUGGUUGUCGUCAGCUCGUGUCGUGAGAUGUUGGUUAAGUCCCGCACGAGCGCACCCUUGACCUAGUUGUCAGCAUCAGAUGGCACUCUAAGUGACUGCCCGCUGACAAACCGAAGAAGUGGGAUGACGUCAAUCAUCAUGCCUUAUUGAACUGGGCUACACACGGUGCCUACAAUGAAU